rnacentral:rRNA from 1 species
AGUUUGAUCAUGGCUCAGAUUGAACGCUGGCGGCAGGCCUAACACAUGCAAGUCGAGCGGUAGAGAGAAGCUUGCUUCUCUUGAGAGCGGCGGACGGGUGAGUAAUGCCUAGGAAUCUGCCUGGUAGUGGGGGAUAACGUUCGGAAACGGACGCUAAUACCGCAUACGUCCUACGGGAGAAAGCAGGGGACCUUCGGGCCUUGCGCUAUCAGAUGAGCCUAGGUCGGAUUAGCUAGUUGGUGAGGUAAUGGCUCACCAAGGCGACGAUCCGUAACUGGUCUAAGAGGAUGAUCAGUCACACUGGAACUGAGACACGGUCCAGACUCCUACGGGAGGCAGCAGUGGGGAAUAUUGGACAAUGGGCGAAAGCCUGAUCCAGCCAUGCCGCGUGUGUGAAGAAGGUCUUCGGAUUGUAAAGCACUUUAAGUUGGGAGGAAGGGCAGUUACCUAAUACGUGAUUGUUUUGACGUUACCGACAGAAUAAGCACCGGCUAACUCUGUG